UACAGAGGCCCCAAGCGUUACUGAGAAUCACUGGGUUUAAAGGGUGCGUAGGUGGCGCGUUAAGUCCGUUGUGAAAUCCCUGGGCUCAACCCAGGAAUUGCUUCGGAUACUGGCGUGCUUGAGGCUAGUAGGGGUCACUGGAACUGACGGUGGAGCGGUGAAAUGCGUAGAUAUCGUCAGGAACGCCAAUGGUGAAGACAGGUGACUGGGCUAGUUCUGACACUGAGGCACGAAAGCGUGGGGAAGCGAACGGGG
rnacentral:rRNA from 1 species